rnacentral:rRNA from 1 species
AACGAACGCUGGCGGCAUGCCUAACACAUGCAAGUCGAACGAGACCUUCGGGUCUAGUGGCGCACGGGUGCGUAACGCGUGGGAACCUGCCCUUAGGUUCGGAAUAACUCCCCGAAAGGGGUGCUAAUACCGGAUAAUGUCUUCGGACCAAAGAUUUAUCGCCUUUGGAUGGGCCCGCGUUGGAUUAGCUAGUUGGUAGGGUAAAAGCCUACCAAGGCGACGAUCCAUAGCUGGUCUGAGAGGAUGAGCAGCCACACUGGGACUGAGACACGGCCCAGACUCCUACGGGAGGCAGCAGUGCGGAAUAUUGGACUAUGGGCGAAAGCCUGAUCCAGCAAUGCCGCGUGAGUGAUGAAGGCCUUAGGGUUGUAAAGCUCUUUUACCCGGGAUGAUAAUGACAGUACCGGGAGAAUAAGCAUCGGCUAACUCCGUG